GCUUUCCUUGUACCUUUGUCUAUUAUCGAUCCAACGUAAUCUUUAGGCCUGCUCUUUUGUUUUCAUUUUUUUGUUUUCAUGAGCUUUAUUGUUUGGUUGGGAGUUUUCUUUAAUUUUGGUUUUGACUUAAAGUUAUGAGUUUAGUUUUUGCUCACGUAAAGGCCCAAGGAAAUUGUGUAUCAUAGAAGAAAACUCUUAGAAAACCCAUUAAUUCGUGGUGUAAUUCAAAGUUAUUUAAAUAAACUCUUGGCGCCUGAGCAUAAUUCAGUAGCACAUUAAUGAGUGGAGGGUACAUAUAUUCAUAAAAUAAUAAAUGAGAUGUUUAUAGGCCCUCUACAAACUGAAAAAGAAGUGGAUUUUAACUACCUUUGUCCUUAAAGGAAUCUGACCCACAUGGUUAUAGUUAAAACAUUUUUUCAUGGUGCUAAUCAAAAAAAAAAAAAAAAAAUUCGUGUUGCAGGAGAUGAGGUUCCUAAAAUGAGAAUGUACCUCACUCCGAUGGAACAAGGAAAAUAAGGCCUAAGCCAGCAUCCCCAGGUUGCCACAGCCCAUCCUUCAUAGCAGGAAAAUAAGGCCUAAGCCAGCAUCCCCAGGUUGCCACAGCCCAUCCUUCAAGCAGGAGCGAAAGGAAGCUAGUGUUAGUCAGGAAGGAUGGUUCUGAGGAGAAGUGGCAGCGGGGAGGAGAGAGGGUGGCACAGACUUGUUUAUGCAGAGAGCUCUCACAGAGGACUGCUUUGUCACACAGUCCCAGCACCUGAAACUUUGCAAUGAACUGCCUAGUGGCACAAGCCAGAGUGAAGAGCUGUGGAGGGGAGCUCGGCUCACAGCCAGAUCUGCUUCACGCCCUCUGCUUCCCUGUGUGCUUCCCUCCCUGUCACAUCAUAAAACUAUGACGUAAGGGAAAGUUCACACGAGACUUUAAACCAGCCGUAUCAGCAUUGCUGCGAACUUGUUGAAAAUGCUAAUUGCUGUUUUCAAAUAUUCUACCUUAUUUAUACUUUUGUCUACACGGGCCUGUGGAUUAGUAGCAUUAAUCUUCCCUGUGACCGCUUUUUAAAUGUUUUAAGACAAAAACCUAAUUUUACUUUCUUUACUGUGUUCUAACUAUUAAUUGUAAUUAUGUUGUUAUUUUUAUAAUUUAUUUAUUUAGCAUGUAACUGUCACUUUAGAAUGUAGCCUUUCUAAGAUAGAGACUAUAAUUCUGUUAAUCAUAAAUCACUCUUAGCACACAGCUUGGCUCUUAUAUGCUCAAUAAAUACUUGUUGGGUAAAAGGGAAAAAAAUGCUAAUACCUGUGUCUUCCCCCACAAAACCUACUGAGCCAAAUUCUGGAAGCAGGGCCCCACAGUUGUCCAGGAAGCCAUUUGCAUGGCCCUGCGGUAGUCAGUUGUAAGAACCACCGCAGGGCCGACAGAAGUGGCCAUUCACCCUCAGGCACCAACGAUUGACAACACUUGAACAUUUCCCCUUGCCUCUGUUAGCCUUACCGCCACCCUCACUGGUUGAGGUCCUUUCAGACCCGUCUAAGAAGUGGGUCCGAAGGUAGAAGGAUACAGUCAGUGUCAGUGAGGAGAGGACUGCGUAGAAGAGCAGGGCCUGGGUGACAGGAGUCUGGGAAUGUGGACCUACCUCUACAGCAGUGUUCUCACCUGUGUCGUAUGACCCUUUCACAGGGCUCGGCUAAGGUCAUCGGAAAACACAGAUAUGUAUUUACAUUAUGAUUUGUAACAGGAGCGAAAUGACAGUUAUGAAGUAACAGGGAAAAGAAUGUUACGGUUGGGGUCACCAUAACAUGAGGAACUGUAUUAGAGGGCCACAGCGUUACACAGGCUGAGAAUCACAGCUCUAAAGAAAGUGAGCUCUAACCACCAUACUUCCAUACAGUGCCUUUGAACUGGGGUUUAGCUUCAAGACACCCUGAGAAACCAGUGAAGCAGUAUUAGACUAAUGUAUGCACACCUCUGUACCUCAGUCCCUAAGCUGUAAUCUAACUCCUACGACAGUAGACUUUUUAAGAAUUGUUAAUGCUUUUUUAUUAAUACAAGUCAUAAUAUGCUGACAAAAAGAAAAAUUUUAGAGGUUAAAAAUAAAACAUGGCCUACAGUUCCACUAUCAGAGAAGUGCUAUGACUGAGGUGGCCUCCAGGCUCUCUGCACACUUACAGAUUUUUUUAACGGGAUCAAAUUGUACAUGCUGUUUUGUAACUUUUUCACUCAACAGUCCCAUGCCUAUCUUGCUGUGUCAUGUGUGUCUACAUCUUUUUUAAUGGAUGCAUGAUAUUUCCUCAUAUGUGCCACAUUUUGUUAAACUACUGUUGAAUUUUUAGGUUUCCAGUUUUUCACUAAUAAACUGCUUUGAAGAGC
rnacentral:lncRNA from 1 species